GAUGAAGAACGCAGCGAAAUGCGAUACUUGGUGUGAAUUGCAGAAUCCCGUGAACCAUCGAGUCUUUGAACGCAAGUUGCGCCCGAAGCCUCGGCUAAGGGCACGUCUGCCUGGGCAUCACGCAUCGCGUCUCCCCCAAACCGCCAAGGCGGAGGGGAAGGAAGAUGGCUUCCCGUGCCUCACCCGGGCGCGGUUGGCCUAAAUUUGGAGCCCGCGGCACUUAGCUCUCGCGGCGAUAGGUGGUGAACAAGGCCUUGGCCGUGCAAACAACCCGCUGCGAAGCUCUAUGUCACGUGCGCUCGUCGGACCCUUUGAAGUUGCCUUUGGUGACUUAAAACCUUUGCGACCCCAGGUCAGGCGGGGCUACCCGCUGAAUUUAAGCAUAUCAAUAAGCGGAGGA
rnacentral:misc_RNA from 1 species